UACGUAGGGGGCAAGCGUUGUUCGGAUUCAUUGGGCGUAAAGGGCGCGUAGGCUGCGGGGCAAGUCGGGUGUGAAAUCUCAGAGCUCAACUCUGAAACUGCACUCGAUACUGCUUUGCUCGAGGACUGGAGAGGAGAUUGGAAUUCAUGGUGUAGCAGUGAAAUGCGUAGAGAUCAUGAGGAAGACCAGUGGCGAAGGCGGGUCUCUGGACAGUUCCUGACACUGAGACACGAAGGCCAGGGGAGCAAACGGG
rnacentral:rRNA from 1 species